AAGGUAUUCCCUCCGUCUGAAAAAGCUUGUCCCAAGCUUGUCCCUCAAAUGGAUGUAUUUAGCACUAACUUGGUGCUAGAUACAUCCAUUUAGACAAGCUUUUUCGAACAGAGGGAGUAUUAG
rfam:Triticum aestivum genome assembly, contig: Triticum_aestivum_CS42_TGACv1_scaffold_194871_3AL